UACCUUUUCGGCGCCUCAAUUGGUCCCUAUAUUGCGAGAUGCCGGCUUCGGUCGGCUAUGGCGAUAAAUGGCCUGCGUAAUAAGCCUAUCGGACCCGGGGGCGGUACCCGGCGCCUCCACCAAAACCCGCUGCCGGGCGGGCUUUGGCGGGGGCGAAAUAGGAUCGACGAGGGUGUAAAGGUUGUGCUUUCGCUCGGCAUGGUACCACCGAUAUCGGACCAAAUUGAUAGUUGCGAAUGACAACUACGCUCCGGUUGCUCAGGCUGCGUAAUGCGGUCCUGAAAUACCGAAAUUAAGCCCUUGCGGUUAGCACUGUAAGGCGGGGUUCGGGAGCACCUGGCAACAGAAGCUCCCACU
rnacentral:tmRNA from 1 species